GCCUUCGGGGUGUAGUGGUCAGCACACUCGGUGCGCAUUCGAGGAGUCCGUGGUUCGAGUCCCAGCGACGGCA
rnacentral:tRNA from 1 species